GUAGUAUCAGGUGAUGGAGUUCACCUCAAACCGCAUGUUCUGCUGAUAACUCCUACCAAUUU
rnacentral:ncRNA from 1 species